UCUCCCUUCGCGUUGUGCUGCUUCUUGCCUCUCCGUCCUUCUCUCUGCUUGCCAUCAAAUGCCAUUAUAGAAAUACGUGGACACUUUUGGCGAAAUUGAAUUGAAUGUACUAGAGAGAUGCUGCGAUCUCAGAGAAUAUUGUCCCAUCCCUCCGUCCUCAACACCUCCAUCACCGACUGUCUCUGAGAAAUUAAAGAUCCUUCAGCUCCUGUCCUCCCUGUUGUUUGAAAGAUUGCCACCCACAUCUUGUCAAGCCUGAAAUGCUCAAACUGACACGGAGAGCUUCAUCAUUACAGCCUCUGACCGCCUGACCGUGAACCGCUGUCUGCCAGCUGCUCCUCUCCUCACAAUCCUCUCAGCUACACAGGUGCAUCCGUGCAGUCUAUGUAACCCCUGAACACCUCGGCCCUCCUGCAGACCAGCCUCUGCCCUGCAAGUCCCAGCUCAUAUUAUCACUGACUGACAGGCACUACACUUCACUUCACAGCUGGUAACAAGCUUCCAACAACAUGUGGGAUCCCCUCAGUCCCUCAGACACUCCUGUGCUGUGUUGUCACCUUUAUAAGCCACGCUUCACAACAGAUAUACUCUCUCUUUCACCAAACAGAUGUAUUUGUUUUCAUUUACUUUCUUUAUCAGCCAUGCUUCACUGUUCGCUCUCCAUUUAGUUAUUUCAGCUGAAGGAAGUCCCUUCUUCACUUAACGUCUUCUCUCGGCUGAAAGGAUAUACUGAGUUUCAUACUGAAUACCUCCCACGUUAACCAUUUAAUAUUAUAUUAUACAUAUUAUAUCUGUAGUAUUGUAUAGUGUAUAAUUAUUACAAUUAUCUGUAAUAUUGUACAGAGUAUAAUUAUUAACUCAUAUAAUAAUAAUAAUAUUUAAUCUUUAAAAAAAUAAUCUUUCACAGGGACUCCACAGGGUUCUGUCCUUGGCCCACUUCUCUUCAGGGUGGAUGGGUCAACAAAUUAUCAGACUUUAACACGGGAGAGGAGCGUUUGGUUCCGACAGUCAACGUUGUUUGUUUUUAAGCAUGACCACGAUCGCUCCAUAACUUUAACCAAGUGCUUAUUAGUGUAAGCAUGACAACAGCUGUCCCUUAACUGUAAAUAAGUAGUGAUUUAAACCUAAACCAUGAUCUAAACCUAACAAAGUCGUUUUAGUACCUAAACCUAACCAAACCUUAACCAUGGUCAUGUCGCAUCAUACAACAGAUGUAUUUUUCUACAGUGGUUUGUAAUGGUUUUUUGAAGGUACGGACAAAUGAUUUCGUCCUGCUGAUCUCAGAUCAGAAAACACUUCUCUGUGCUGAAGGCAUGGACAAACAAUGUAUUUUGUUGUUUAAUUUGGAGGCCAUGUUGGUUGUGGCUAUGUCUACGUCAUUAUUUCCACCGAGCUGUUUUAGCGCUUACAGUCCUAUAGCAGCAUGGUUUGAAAACCUCUUUCUAACACUCAACAUUAAUGUGGCUACAAUUGAUAUUUUUCUGUAACCAGGUGGUAAAAUGAAAUACAGGAAAUAAAACCCCUGUAAAUAAGAUUCUCUACUGCAGCAGUCCUGCUGUAGAUGUUGACUCUUACUUUACUUCUUUGGACAGCAGGGGGUGUAGUUUCACCGUGUCUCAGAGCAGUGUGCUUGUUCAGAGGUCAGAGGGCACCGGGAAAAUACAGAAAGUACAACAUAACGCGCUAUUUUGCCGGGAAUGGCUGCUGUGAGAAAAUGUAUGAAUAACCUUAUGUUGUUUAAUAAUUAGCACAAAACUGCAUUACAUUGGUUUAAUGGUGUCUGAUGUACUUGAUCAAUGUGAAAAAAAUGUGAAUGUGAAAUCCACAUUUUUGUGUAAUUGUUAAAUUUACGAUUGCCGCAACAAAAACAGGAGCUUGUUUUCCGUGAUUUAUGAAGGAAAUUGUUUGAUGAUGAUUUGUGAUAUAUAAUGCAUUGUAUUGUUAUGUGUCUAAUGUAUUUAGCAGAAUGGACACAGUGUGAAGACACUUUCAUAUAUAACCAUUUGAGUUCUUGUCAACACUGAAGUAGAAAAAGCUUUAUUUCCUGUCAUGUGGUUUCCACAUUGUAAUGCUCCUUCUCUUUGUUCAUGUUUCUGAGCUGUAAACAUUACAGGAUGCAUCCGCUAAAAGCACCUCAUACCGUCACGCUGAAGCAGAAGACAAUAAGGAAAAACAAAUCUACCACAUAAGCUAUAAUUGGGUAAUUAAGAAAAGCAAGAAGAGACAUUAAGUGUCCCUGCUGGGAGGAGAAUUACCCAUUACCCGGUGAUUUUCUCGAGCAUGACUAUUACUUAUAGUAUGUAAAGGCUUUAUGCUACAGUGACCAGUUAAUUACAUCCAUUACCAGGACUAGGUGGCGAGUUCACACCUGGAAACACACACACAGGCAGGAGAAUAUACGAUCACAUUUGCUCUCACGUGAACUCACAUAUACAGCGGUAAACGGUCUACAUGUGUUUACACCAGGAAGUGGGAGUUUCCCAGUUGUUUCUUAUUUCCCAGAGCGACAAAGACUGAUUAUUGCAGCCAUUUUUUAGAAAAGAAUGAUUGAUUGCAUAA